CUCCGUUUCCUUCUCCCCAGUGUCACAGUGGUACAUUUGUGCGCACCUCGUGCACAAAACCGAAGCUCGCCGUGCCUUUUUCCUCCACCUCCUCCUCAUUCAUCAGCACCUGCACCUUUUUUUUUUUCGUCAACAAUACGCCGUCUGAUGGUUUAGCAGGUUCGCAGGACGCAUUGGCGCGGGCGCACAUUCUUCGUGGGUGUGCGCGCACAGCAGCCCCAUCACGCACAUCUUGUGGAUUUUUUUAUUUUAUUUAUUUUUUAAAUCACGAGCGAGCUCGCGUACAUGGUGCGCUUGUCUCGUCCGUCGUCAGGAGUUCGUCUCACUUCACGAAUAGAAAAAUGUGGCCGGGUAUAGUGGUGAUACUUUGGUUAUGCGGAGACUCGAUGGCCGGCUUUCCGAAUCAAAUCAACAUCGGCGGACUCUUCAUGCGCUCUACAGUCCAGGAGCACAGCGCCUUCAGGUUUGCGGUGCAGCUGUACAACACUAACCAGAACGCGACGGAGAAACCUUUCCACCUCAACUAUAAUGUCGACAACCUGGAGUCAUCCAACAGCUUUUCCGUCACACACGCCUUCUGCUCUCAGUUCUCCCGAGGAGUCUACGCCAUCUUCGGCUUCUACGACAGGAGGUCGAUGAACACGCUGACCUCCUUCUGCGGAGCGCUGCACACAUCCUUCAUUACCCCCAGCUUCCCCAUCGACGCCGACGCACAGUUUGUCAUUCAGAUGAGGCCCGGCUUGCGAGGCGCCGUUUUAAGUCUACUGGACCAUUACAAGUGGGAGAAGUUUGUCUACCUCUACGACACCGACAGAGGUUUUGCCAUCCUCCAGGCCAUUAUGGAGUCGGCUGUGGCCAACAACUGGCAGGUGACCGCCCGCUCAGUGGGCAACAUCGCGGACCCCACCGAUUAUCGCCGCAUCAUUGAGGAGAUGGACCGCCGGCAGGAGAAACGCUUCCUCGUCGACUGCGAGGUGAACAGGAUCAACGCCAUUCUCGAGCAGGUGGUGAUUGCGGGCAAAAACACCAGAGGAUACCACUAUAUCCUUGCCAACCUGGGUUUUUCCAACAUGAGCUUGGACAGGGUGUUUUCUGGUGGAGCCAACAUCACAGGUUUCCAGAUCAUCAACCCAGAGAGCGCCAUUGUGCAGCAGUUCCUCCAACGCUGGGAGCGUCUUGAUGAAAGAGAAUUCCCAGAAGCUAAAAACACUCCACUAAAGUACACAUCGGCACUGACCCAUGAUGCCAUCCUCAUCAUCUCUGAGGCCUUCCGCUACCUUCGACGCCAGCGCGUGGACGUGUCCCGCAGGGGAAGCGCAGGCGACUGUCUCGCUAAUCCUGCUGUGCCCUGGAGUCAAGGCAUUGAUAUCGAGAGAGCUCUGAAAAUGGUACAAGUUCAAGGCAUGACAGGAAAUAUCCAAUUUGACACAUUCGGGCGAAGAGCCAACUACACGAUCGAUGUGUACGAAAUGAAGUCAGGAGGCCCUAGGAAGAUCGGCUACUGGAAUGAAUAUGAAAAAUUUGUAUAUGUAAUGGAUCAGCAGGUCACCAACGAGUCGUCUUCUGUGGAAAACCGAACAAUUGUGGUCACUACUAUUAUGGAAGCGCCAUAUGUGAUGUACAAGAAAAACUAUAUGCAGCUGGAUGGGAAUGACCGAUACGAAGGCUACUGUGUCGAUUUAGCGUCCGAAAUUGCAAAGCACGUGGGGAUAAGAUAUAAGCUCUCGGUGGUUCCGGAUGGGAAGUACGGAGCCAGAGAUCCAGAGACCAAGACGUGGAACGGGAUGGUGGGUGAACUGGUUUAUGGGAGAGCUGACAUAGCAGUGGCUCCUCUCACUAUAACGUUGGUACGAGAAGAAGUGAUAGACUUCUCCAAGCCUUUUAUGAGCUUGGGGAUCUCCAUUAUGAUAAAGAAGCCUCAAAAGUCCAAGCCUGGGGUUUUUUCCUUCCUGGACCCGCUGGCCUAUGAGAUUUGGAUGUGUAUAGUGUUCGCCUAUAUCGGCGUGAGCGUGGUGCUGUUCCUGGUGAGCCGAUUCAGUCCUUACGAGUGGCAUCUGGAUGAGAACGAUGAGGCCAAAGACCCUCAGAGCCCCCCCGACCCGCCCAACGACUUUGGCAUUUUUAAUAGCCUGUGGUUCUCGCUGGGUGCCUUCAUGCAGCAAGGAUGCGAUAUCUCGCCAAGGUCACUCUCAGGCCGCAUAGUCGGAGGAGUGUGGUGGUUCUUCACCCUCAUCAUCAUCUCCUCCUACACGGCCAACCUGGCUGCUUUCCUCACCGUGGAGAGGAUGGUUUCUCCCAUCGAGAGUGCCGAGGACUUGGCCAAGCAGACAGAAAUCGCCUAUGGCACGUUAGACUCAGGCUCCACAAAGGAGUUCUUUAGGCGCUCCAAAAUUGCCGUUUAUGAGAAAAUGUGGUCAUACAUGAAAUCAGCUGAGCCGUCGGUGUUUGCCAAGACAACACCCGACGGGGUCUCCCGGGUACGAAAGUCGAAGGGCAAGUUCGCCUUUCUCCUGGAGUCCACAAUGAAUGAGUACAUAGAGCAGCGCAAGCCCUGCGACACCAUGAAAGUGGGCGGAAACCUCGACUCGAAAGGCUACGGCGUGGCCACGCCCAAAGGCUCUGCAUUAAGAAAUGCUGUUAACCUGGCAGUGUUAAAACUGAAUGAGCAAGGCCUCUUGGACAAAUUGAAAAACAAAUGGUGGUACGACAAAGGAGAGUGCGGCAGCGGGGGAGGUGACUCUAAGGUCAGCCUCAAUGUCACCAAAGUCGGGUGUCCUAAAAGAGAGUAAUCGGCAAGGCUGACGUCACUUUCAAAAUCAACGGCGGCUUCAUUCUGGAUGAUUCUUCAUCUCAGUUCUCUUUAUUUACUGCCGCUGAGAUCAAGUGGGAACCCUUUCCUUGGCUCAUGAAGAAAGGAUGAAUGAGUGACGCGUGACUAUUUUUGGGUCUUUUGGCGUGUGGCUAGGAAAGACGGCCAGCGUUUAUGAAGCCUGCUUUUUCUAACCGCAUGCCAACGUUGUUAAGGUUAAUAUUCAAAACCUCCAAACAUGCGCUCUCUGCCGGGCGCUAUAGUUCAGGCUCAGGGAACAGCGUUGUCUUGAGGGGAUGAAGCAUUACAGGCAAACGUGAGAAUUCUAAACAGACGAGUAACGCUCAGCACAUUUAGUCGAUCUUCACACAAGUUUCCAUGGUCACCCCCAUGUGGUGGGUGCAAUGACACCUGCACAAUGACACCGGGGGCCCCAUUUGUGCCAUUUACACCAUCACAUCUGUGUCCAGUUUUUUUUUUUUGGUACAAAAAUUAUAUCUGGCAAUUUCUUGCUUUUGGUCAGACUUUACUACACCAGUGCAGUGAAUUCCUGUUUCUCGUGUAGGAUAUGUUCCAUUACCUAAUCACCACAAGUGGGACCAACAAUAUAGAGAGACUAUUUAAGAACAAGUUUAAAAAUAAUGAAUCCACAACUAAUCGAUUACCAAAUUAACUUGCUUCCAGCUGUUUUUGUCACUCCCAGUUGAGGUUUACUGUAGAACUGACCCAUAACAAAGGGAAUUAAACAUUGUAUAUCUAAACAUGAACAUUUUAACCAAACUAUACACAGAAUUACAAUUCUACUAGCUUAAAGCUAACGUGCAAUGCCAAUCACCAUAGAUGAGCUCAUAGAAAUUAGCAUUGAUGUUACGGUACUUUAAAUAUACAGCAAUACUCACAGGUGUAUACAUGUUUUAUUGUCAAUUACUGAAGUUUAGUUGGGAACCUUCUCAACUUCCUCUUCUGGCUCUUAAUUUCCCGACUGUUUCCUAGUGCUGCCGGGCAUGUUGUGGCAUAAUGCGGCAUACUACACUAAAGACACAAAACUUCGACUGACAAGUGAGCAUGUCUCCUUAUAGUAGCAUUGCUCAAACAACAAAAUACCACGACAGUCUUGGACUUUUUCUGCAGUACUUCUGGAUAUGUUCACUACCACAAUGUGCAAGUUUCCACAUUGUUCUGUGCAUAUGCUUUUGUCGAUGUCACCAAUGAGGCUCCGGACAGUGAGCAGCGGUCACACAAUAGUCACACCGCGCACCCAUCUUUGCUACCCUUUGCCUUCCUUUCAGAUUGCAGCACAACGUCACAGAAUGAAAUUGCCAAAGAGGAAACGACCCCAAGUCAUCUUCUCACCUCUCCCGGCUAAGCAUGAUACGGAUACUCACGGGGGGUGGUGAGGGCGGGUCCUCUAACCGAGCAGUCUCCUCUCGACUCCGACAUUGUGCCUCCAUUCAGUUCCUUUAAAUCACCGCGGUUUGCCUGGGGGAAAUGUAUUGUACACAACAACCACUGAGGAUAGAGAACAUUCAUGGAAAUCUCUAAUUAGUCACAGUGUGGAUUUACAGAAACUAAAUUCAAAUGUGACGCACAGAAAUAUUUACGUCACCGUGUGAUAUUAUGUAUGUCCAAUGCUGCACUGGGUCAACAUUUACGGGUGUCUGUUGCCUUGCAGUCAAACGAAAGGGCAAAGUUUUGUAAAAAACUCGCGAGUGUGUUUGCAUGAAUUUGCCAGUCUAAAGAUUUACUCCACAUUGGCAACUCUACUGUGACAAAUAAUAUCGGGUAACCUUGCAGGGUGGGUUGGAAUGACUUUAUUGGUCCUUCAUUGUUUUAUAAAAUUUGAAUAUGAUCCAGAAGAGGUGGACGGAAUUUGUGUUGAUAUCACAAUAAUGAAAUACAAGCAGUCAGCUCUGUGAACCACAACAGUAUGAAUGGCCCUUACAGUCGAGUUAGACAUAAAAUGACAAACGUAGACACCACUUUUACGAAAAUGGCAAUAGAACAUACCAUCAACUCGCUUCCACUUCUCCCGCACCUAAACACACAGUUGAUUGCAAUGCUAAGCAGGUGUGCCCUGUGGAGGUUCCGCCCAUCCACCUGUGACUUAAAAAAAAUACAACCAUCCAAUUCGACACAAACAUUCAUCCAUUUUCUAAUGCGUUUAUCCUCACGAGGGUCACCGGUGUGCCGUAGCCUACCCGAGUUGUCUUCGGGUAGCAGGCUGGGUACACCCUGAACUAGUUGCCAACCAAUCCACACACAGAUGAACGACCAUUUGCACUCCAUGGGACAAUUUAGAAUGUUCUAUUAACCUGCCAUACAUCCAUACAUGUUUUUUGAAUGUGGGAGGAAACCAGAGUAUCUAAAGAAAACCCACGUAGGCACGAGGGGCGGGGGGCAUGCAAACUCCACACAGGAAGGAGUCACAAAAAGGCAUAAAUGGUGUCAACCUUCAGCAUGUCGUGUAACGAGUAGUGAAUCAUUGACCAAAUGGAGAAAAUUCUCGAGGUCAAAUAAGUUCACCCUUUAAGGUUCAAGUGCAUUUUAGAAUCUUCUGAGUAUUUCACUCAAACGCCCACUAACUCUCCUUAAUUUUGAGUGUGUCACUGUCACACCCCUUUUGCAUUUUGUUAGUCAACAAAGGGUUCCUGUUUGAUCCAGCUUGUUGGCAGCCAUAAGGAGCCUUCAGCUUUGGAAAACCGCAACUCACCUUGAGGAAGCCGUCCGCACUCGACUAACUUAUGCGUUGCGGUCAGUGUGUGCCGAUUACUCCAAGCGACACGGGUAGGGUCUGGCACGCUCGGGUAUCUAGGUUCAGGUCAUACCUAACUUGUGUACUGCCAUGUAUUUCCCGAUUUAGCGUUGCUCGCUACGUGUCACGUCUUGGCCAGCACCCUGCUCGUGGUCGCUUUGCACAGUUAUCGAGUCGUUGACAAAGUUGAAUAACAUAAAAUAACAUCAUCAAAUGUUAUUUAUGUUAUUUCCCACGUGAAGCACUCCAGUAAACCUCGCAGUAUUGAAACUCAGUGAACAAGGCAUCUUAGACAAGCUGAAAAACAAAUGGUGGUACGAUAAAGGUGAAUGUGGAACCAAGGACUCGGGAAGUAAGGACAAGACAAGUGCACUAAGCCUGAGCAAUGUGGC